CAACGGAUAUCUUGGCUCUUGCAACGAUGAAGAACGCAGCGAAAUGCGAUACCUAGUGUGAAUUGCAGAAUUCCGCGAAUCAUCGAGUUUUUGAACGCAAGUUGCGCCCGAGGCUUUUGCCGAGGGCAUGUCUGUCUGAGCGUCCA
rnacentral:rRNA from 1 species